AUCAUCGUGUUAAACCCACCAAUAGCGCGCCAGGUGGAUAAGUCCGUUUGUGAUUGGUCCCCGCAGAUUUGUAACAGAAGCAGGAUAGAAUAAUGUAAAGGUUUCCACCCUGAGCUGCAGGGAGAAAUCAAAUCGCCGGCAGAUCGGGCUGGCUGUACCAUAAUGUCUAA